rnacentral:rRNA from 1 species
UAGUCCACGCCGUAAACGAUGGUCACUAGCUGUUCGAACUUCGGUUUGAGUGGCUAAGCGAAAGUGAUAAGCGACCCACCUGGGGAGUACGUUCGCAAGAAUGAAACUCAAAGGAAUUGACGGGGGCCCGCACAAGCGGUGGAGCAUGUGGUUUAAUUCGAUGAUACGCGAGGAACCUUACCAGGGCUUAAAUGUAAGUUGCAUUAGUUAGAGAUAGCUAUUUCUUCGGACCACUUACAAGGUGCUGCAUGGUUGUCGUCAGCUCGUGCCGUGAGGUGUCAGGUUAGGUCCUAUAACGAGCGCAACCCCUAUCAUUAGUUGCCAGCACUUCGGGUGGGGACUCUAAUGAGACUGCCGGCGUAAGCCGCGAGGAAGGUGGGGACGACGUCAAAUCAUCAUGGCCUUUAUGCCUAGGGCGACACACGUGCUACAAUGGUAGGGACAGAGGGUAGCGAAUCAGUGAUGUGGAGCUAAUCUCAAAAACCCUAUCCCAGUUCGGAUUGG